GGGUAGCAACCCAGACUGUUCUCAGCCCUGCAUGAGCUCCAGGAAGUGGCUCUGGAUUCAGGUAGAUCCUCUCAUGCUUGACAUAUCAGUAGUGCGCAGACCAGGUGGCGGGAGCCGGGUAUGCUGCCCAUCUCAAGAGCACGCCCUGUGCACCUGUCACCUGCUCAAAGCACCGCAUCCCCUGGAUUUUAUUUGGCUUCCUCUUUCUUGUCCUGGAACUGCUUUCAAGCCACAAGCUCAGGCGACAGUACAACUCACUUUCAUUUCUCAGGCAAACAGCCCCAUGCUGUCCAUUGUCUAAUGUCUGAAAACCAGUUUUUAAACGUAUCUCGUCCCCUUUUUAUUGGUUUAAGGGGGAAGGGGGAAGCUGGUCCCAUUACUCCAGAAUCACCCCCGGAGGCAGCUUGUUAGGUGAGCAAAACUUCAGGCAGAUUCACAACAUGUAUCGGCGCUGUGAGAUGAGUGAGCUUGAUCUUGAUAAGACAGUCAGUACGUUUUCCUAAAAUGUGUGUAUUCUGCGUCGUAUGUGACCAAACACGAGGCAGCCUGGCAUGUGGUGUCAUGCAGUCGUUUCCCAAUGAGCAGCUUGACAAAGGAAAGACUUAGCUGGGUAGUCAGACGAUCGGUAGAUGGAUAGAUAUUUAGACGUUGAUGCAGACAGCCUGCAAGAGAUGCAGUGCUAAAUCUCCGCUCGGAGUGGUCAGUUUGUUACAAAUAUGUAAAACCGCACAUCAGGUAAACUCAUACGUUGUUUUAGAAUAUUGCCUUUCCCACUCUAGCUGACAUGAAAUAAUUUCAUUUAGUCCCUUAUACACAUCUUUGGCUUUAGUAAUUUUGCUGUGCCAUAAUUUCUUUUCAUCUAAAACAUCAUUUUUCUUCUUUUUUUUUUUUUUCCUUUGGCUGUAGCCACAGCAUGUGGACAGUCCUGGGCCAGGGAUCGAACCCAUGUCACAAUAGCGACCUGAGCCGCUGCAGUGACAACACUGGAUCCUAACCCACUGCACACAAGGGAACUCCUAAACCUUCAUUUUUAUGUCAUCAGCGUUGUACGAGCCACAGCCCUCCUGAUGUCUUACAUGCGCUGCUCACACUGGGAAUUCCACCCGGGCUACAAGCAUUUAUUUACAGUCAGGAAAAUGUAAAUAAAUGGCUUGUUUUUCUGUGCUUGUCCUUCUUUUGUUUGUUUGCAUUCAGCGGUCACCUCAUAUAAAACGCUUACUUUGUGGCUUUUGUAAGUGACUUCCAUAAGGCUUGUUUGCAGUAUGUCCAGCAGUGGUGCUUGUGUGUGUGUGUGCCACACCCCCAAGAAUAAUUACUCAAGACUAAUCCUGUUCAGUUUCUUUGUUUUUAAAAAUCCCUUCCAUCAAAUGACCUCCAUAAUCAUCCCAAGCUAGCAUUUUUAGGGUCAUUUUAGACCCUGCUUGCAAGAUAAAAUAGAGUGUCCACUUCAAUUUGAAUUUCUGAUAAGUAAUAAAUCAAUUUUCAUAUAAAAAUGCCCCAAAUACUGUUUGGAGCAUAGUUACACUAAAAGAAAAAUGUGUAUCUGAAAUUCGCAUUUAACCACGCAUACAGAUUCCCAGUUAAAAUAAAAAUACAGAGGUUUCUUUGCUAAAUCUGACAACCCUACUUUAGACCGGGGCCUGCUUCAACUAUCUUUCUAAGAUGUGGCUGAUCAGGUGAUUCCUGCUAUUUUGAGUGAUAAUAGAGAGAAUCUCGCUCUCUUCUUAGGCAUUAACAGGAACUUCCUCCAUCAUUUUCUUCCCAAGUAUGUCAUACCAGAAGCGCUCUCAAAUGUAUUUCUGGGUAUUUUUCCUUGGUGGGAGGUAGAAAUUAAUUCAGAAAAUCAAAUAUUAAAAGACUGGGUUCACCAAUUCUCUUAAUGUGCCGCCAGAACCCACAUUACUGAUUAAAAUAUGAUAUUCUUUUUUUAAUAACUCAAUGAAUUUUAUUGCAUUUAUAGUUGUACAGCGAUCAUCACAACCCAAUUUAUGGCUUUUCCAUUCCAAACUCCGAGUGCAUCCCCCCCCCCCCCCNNNNNNCCCCCCAGCCUGUCUCCUUUGGAAACUGUAAGUUUUUCAAAGUCUGUGAGUCAGUAUCUGUUCUGCAAAGGUUAUUGUGUCCCUUUUUUAGAUUCCACAUGUACUGAUAGCACUUAAUGUUGGUGUCUCACUGUCUGACUGAUUUCACUUAGCAUGGUCAAUUCUAGGUCCAUCCAUGUUGCUGCAAAUGCCGUUAUUUCUUUCCUUUUAAUGGCUGAGUAAUAUUCCAUUGUGUAUAUGUACCACAUCUUCUUGAUCCCCUCCUCUGUCGAUGGACAUUUAGGUUGUUUCCAUGUCUUGGCUAUUGUAUAGAGUGCUGCAGUGAACACUGGAGUACCUGUGUCUUUUUGAGUCACGGUCUUCUCUGUAUUCUUUUAUUUUUAAAUUUUUUUUCCUUUGUCCACACCUGCGGCACAUGGAAGUUCCUGGGCCAGGGAUCAGGUCUGAGCCACAGCUGCUGCAAAGCCAGAUCCUUAACCCACCGCGCCAGGUCGGGGAUUGAGCCCGCACCUCCUCAGUGACCUGAGCCUCUGCAGUCAGGUUCUUAACCCACUGCCCCACAGUGCGAACGCCUAAAAUAUGAUCUUCUUAACACAGGUUUGGCCUGGAAGUGUUCAUUUUUCUUUCCCUAUUUUCAACUGUGUUUUUCCUGAGUCUUUGGACACUUCAGUAUUUUUCAAAAGCACUUGUCAUCUUACUCACCACCAUCCUGACCCCACAGAGUUCAGGUAUUGCCCAAGCCACAUGUGCUUGCCAGGCAGCUGGAACAGCAAAUGGUAAGAUCGAGGAAGAAAUCUAGGAUUAAAGAAUCCCUUUCAUCAAAUUGACUGUUAAAAAAAAAAAACGGACGUCUUAACUGAAUUUCUUCAUAAAACGGACUGUGUUUUCCUCAUUUAUUCUCGGGCGUGGUUACAGUCAGGCUUUCAUCUUCCCCGGCUGCAUUAUUUAGAAGGAGUAAUUCAAUUUACCCCAGUGCUCUGGAAUCCUGGCGGGGGAUCAGAUCUUCCGUAACUUAACUUGUUCUGUCACUUUAUUCAGUUAGGGGGGAAAAUUACGUUUGCCACUUCAAAUGCCACUUUCGAACCUCUGAGAAAGCGCUCGGUUCAUCUGCGGCUCCUGAGCAUCCUCCGUCAGUAUCAAAUCGUAGCCAGCUCGAAUCGUUUCCGAGGAUUCAGAAAAUCAUUUUUGGUCUGUCCCCAAGGAUACAGAUUGGAGGUAAAGUGAUAAGACUUGGAAGUAACACAAUAAAACGUCCCUAGGCAGCAUGCUAAUCUUAGAUGAACCAGGAGGGUGGAAGCCCUUGCCCAGAGAUCCUGGGAACCUCCAUAUACCUCGGGAGUGGCCCUAGAAAAGGCAAAAAGACAAAAAUAAAAAAGUUUAAAAAAAGACGACACAACAAAAGCAGGCCAGAAGGAGCGAGGGAGAGUUCGGGUAUGGUGCGAAUCAGAUUCCUAGUCUCCACCCCACAGAUCUGGAUUCGAGGCCACACUCAGGGAUCUCAUUUUAAAUUCCUGGGUGAUUCGGAUUCACCAGGGCUUGAGAGCCCAUGGCCUGAAUGGCCCAGAAAUCAGCCCUGCGCCCCAGGUCCCCAUAAAAAAAAAUGGGGUGGGAUUCCACGUGUGGCUUGGCGUGUUGAGGAUCCAGCGUUGUCACUGCAGUGGCUUGGGUUUUGGUCCCUGGCCCAGGAGCUUCUACAUGCCUGGGACAUGCGCCCUUGCCCCCCCAAAAGGGGGCAGAUGGCUCGAGCUGCACAGAGCAUUGGGCAGAGCCAGGCGGGCGGGGGAACAGUGCUGACACAGCCCUUAGCCCGGGUGACUUCGGUUUUCCUAUCUGAGAAGUAAGAAAAUGGGUGAAAUAAUCUUGAACUCUGUCCCGUUACGGAUUUAUCUGAUUCCGUGAGUCCUGACUUUCUUAUUACUCACCGAGGGUGAACAGGCUCAGUCCCCAGAGGGGGUUGUCAUGCUUGUAGUAUCUCUUCCUGAUUCGGCCAAGGAUUUUGGCGAGCCCGUCCAUCCAGCCCUCCAGUCUUCCUCCGCUUCUGGUCAGAGGGCCAGCUGUGCUGGUGGCCGCUGACCCAGCGGCCUUCCGCUCUUUGCAGCUCUCAGAAGUCCUUCCUCUGACUUCCCUGAAUUGCUGGUUUCAAACCCGGCUGUAUAUUAGGAUCACGUGGGGGUGUGUAGGAUUCUCGUGCAGAGAGACGGGCACCGAGGCUUUUUUGCCAGGAAGCAGCGUUUAUUCGUGCCGGCACUGCUCCGGGGGUUCACAUCCAGAGCUGAGCCCCGAGCGCAGCGGGGCGCUGUCCUAUGUACCCUCCCUUAGUUUUUCUUUUGCGCUUUGAUCCCUUUGUCCCCCUUAUGAGAUAGCAUCCACUCUGUAAUUCUGGUUGGAUGGCUGUGUCACAGAGACGCACACGGAUGCGGUCUCUCUUCUGCCGCAGAGUCACGCCUGCGCGCACAGAUGCGGGCUCUGCCACGUUGCCUCCCGUUUGUUCUGGGAGCGCCCUUCCCACAGGAGCUUUUAUGAAAUAUCAGGACUUGGGCUCUACCCCUGACCACUGAAUCCAGACCUUGGGAGUCAGGCUUAGGCCUCUGCAUGUUUACAGCUCCCCACGGGUCUGAGAUGCACAGGACAGUGCGAGCCAGCUCCCCAGGGCUGGUCUGAAAGCCGGGGUGACGGGGUCUCCAGCCCCUCUUCACCCAAGUCCAAGGGAGCGGAUGUUUGAAUUUGCUCUGCUGCCAGGUUUCUUCGGCCUAGGCUUCCCUGCCAGCGAUUCUGAUCCACCAUGUCACUGCGGGGUCAGGCCGGUGCGAUGGGACAUGGGAAGUGGAAAAGCUGGGCCAGCUGGCGCCACUACAUUCUCAUCAGUGGACCCGAGUCAGGUCCCCCGAGGUGCCGUUUCUCAUUUGCAACGUGAGGCCAGCAUUGCCCUCUGGUUAUUCAGCAGAUCAAAUGGGCAAGGUUUGUGACCUGGCUUUGGAGACUGGAAAGUGCUAUAAACUCCAGUGGGUCUAAGCAUCUUGGAUGUAGCGGUUCACCUGUUCAGCUGAGGUUGUCCAUUCUUCCCAAACUGACUGACCGACGUACUCAGUGCAGUACCAAUAGCAGUCAGAAUCCCAGCAAGCUUUGUUUUAAAAACUAGACAUCACUAAGCUGAUUCUGUAAUGUGCAUGAAGAUGCAGAGGCCCUGGAAUAGUCAACACAGUUCUGCAAAAGAAGCACAAGCGUGGGGGGUUCACAUCCCUGGUUACAAACAACUGUGAACAAGAUGAGGUCGUGUCAGCAUGAAGACGGGAAGGAGCUCAGCGAGAGAGAGGGGUUCAUGCCAAAUAGAUCCACAUAUGCGUGGCCGCUGGACUUUUGAAUAGAAUUGCCAAGGCAGUUGAACAGAGAAGACAUAACGUUCAACAAAUGAUGCUGGAACAGACAGACAGCAACACACACACACACACACAUACCCAACAGACAGCAACACACACACACACACACCCCUUAUAUCUUUCACAGAACACAGAUGCAGAGUUCCCCUCGUGGCUCAGUGGAAACCAAUCUGGCUGGUAUCCAUGAAGAGGCAUGUUUGAUCCCUGGCCUCACUCGGUGGGUUAAGGAUCUGGCUUUGCCGUGAGCUGUGGUCUGGGUCGCAGGCACGGCUAGGAUCUGGCGCUGCUGUGGCUGUGGUGAAGGCCAGUGGCUACAGCUCCGAUUGGACCCCUAGCCUGGGAACUUUUGUAUGCCAAGAGUGCAGCCUUAAAA
rnacentral:lncRNA from 1 species